GUUCUCAUACCGUAGUGGUCACUGCGCUCGCCUUGCACGCGGGAGACCCGGGUUCGAUUCCUGGCGGGGUCA
rfam:Asian citrus Psyllid, Diaphorina citri - Florida Strain, whole genome shotgun sequence.